rnacentral:rRNA from 1 species
AUGGAGCCGAUCAAACCCACUACCCUAACAAGCAAGAUCCGCGUCCAACAUGAACCCACUGAUGGCGAAGAUGCGGCGAGCGGGACUAUCGGCGGCCUCCCUUUCCACCUCACAGAACAGAUCCUCGGCUACAUCAGCCCGCUCGAGUCGGUACGCCUCGCCGCCGUCUGCAAGUCCUGGGCGGCGACCGUCUCCGAGCGGCUAGCGAGACCCACCCCGCACCUGCUCGCGCUCAAGGUCUCCAACGAGUGGUUCCAGCUGCCGCCCGUGGAGGAGCCCCGCCGUGUGGCCAUCUUCCCCUUUCAGAUCGAUGGGGAGGGCUCGCCGUCGGCGGUGGUCCCUCUCCCUGCCCGCGUGCCCUCCAUGGUCUGCGACGUAGAACGUGUCAAGUUAUCCGGCGCGCUGCACUGCGGCCGUCUCUCCUUCGAGGACGGCAACCACGUUGUCCCCGUCAUCCCCGUCACCGGCGCGUUCCGGAGCGAGAUGUAUGCCCCCGUUGGGACGACUGAAGCUAAGGCAAGGGUCGCCGCCGGCGCCAACGCGGUCUUCGUUAACAACCACUCUGAGAUGAGCGUCCCUCUCUUCUGGUGCACGGAGGAGUGGCCCGAGGAGCAGAAGCUGAUUUCCGAAAAGUUCAAAAGCAUUUAUCUGAUGGCCUACACGGACGGCGUCUUCUACGCGCUGGAAUUCUGGGGUUGCACCUACACCGUGGACACACGUGUGCCACCGCCAUGGCGCCUGAAGAAGCUCCAUGUGCCGAACAUUCUCGAACAGUACACCCCGAUCUGUGGGUACCACUUCCUCUGGUACACCCACCUGCUGGAGUCGGACGGGUCGGUCCUGUUUGUUGGUCCGGUGCUCACUCCACAAGAACCCACAGACCUCGAUACCAUCAGUGGCUUCGAGGUGUAUAGGCUAGAUGUCGAGGAGGCACGAUGGAUAAAAGUGGAGAGGCUAGCUGCUGAUCGGGCGCUUUUCGUGAGUGAGCAAUCAUCGUUCACGGUGCGCGCCUUGGAGAUUCCGGGGUGCAUGAGCAACUGCAUCUACUUUGUGGGUGAGGUCGACUACUACUCUUGGGUCACCUGGGGCAUCUACUCCAUGGAGGAGCGGAAGGUGCUGUUUCAACAACCCGUCGGUGGUUCUCCGGGAAAGUAUGAAGCUGCACGGUGGUUCCUCCCUGCUGUUUUGAUGCCGCUUGCACAUGCGCGUUCCGAUUGUAGACACUCGGGAAAGAAGAGAAAAAUCUAA